CAGGCUUAACACAUGCAAGUCGAACGCAUCCUUCGGGAUGAGUGGCAGACGGGUGAGUAACGCGUGGGAAUCUACCCAGCCCUACGGAAUAACCCGGGGAAACCCGGACUAAUACCGUAUACGCCCGCUUGAAAGAGCGGGGAAAGAUUUAUCGGGGUUGGAUGAGCCCGCGUCGGAUUAGCUUGUUGGUGCGGUAAAGGCGCACCAAGGCGACGAUCCGUAGCUGGUCUGAGAGGAUGAUCAGCCACACUGGGACUGAGACACGGCCCAGACUCCUACGGGAGGCAGCAGUGGGGAAUAUUGGACAAUGGGCGCAAGCCUGAUCCAGCCAUGCCGCGUGAGUGAUGACGGCCCUAGGGUUGUAAAGCUCUUUCGCCGGCGAAGAUAAUGACGGUAGCCGGAGAAGAAGCCCCGGCUAACUUCGUGCCAGCAGCCGCGGUAAUACGAAGGGGGCUAGCGUUGUUCGGAAUUACUGGGCGUAAAGCGCACGUAGGC
rnacentral:rRNA from 1 species